CACCUCACGUGCACACACAUCUCACACACGCACUCACAUCUCACACCUGCACUCACACAUCUCACACCCACACACAUGUGCACACACAUCUCACACAUGCACUCACACAUCUCACACGUGCACACACAUCUCACACAUGCACUCACAAAUCUCACACACGCACUUACAUCUCACACGUACACACACAUCUCACACACACAUCUCACACAGGCACUCACAUCUCACACGUGCACUCACACAUGCACACACAAUCUCACACCCACACACACAUCUCACACACGCACUCACAUGCAUCUCACACAUGCACUCAUACACAUCUCACACUGUUGACACCCUCACAUACACACCCAUUUGCACACUCAAGCCUGCACAUAUUCAUACAUGCACAGCCC
rnacentral:lncRNA from 1 species